GUGCUCACAUCAGCAGCAAACGUACCAAAACUGGAGCUGAGUUUAGCACGACCCUUGGGCAAAGAUGACACACAAACGUGUGCAGUGCUCCAUACUUUU
rnacentral:snRNA from 1 species